GACGAAGGGGGCUAGCGUUGUUCGGAAUUACUGGGCGUAAAGCGAGUGUAGGUGGUUGUCCAAGUUGGAUGUGAAAGCCUUGAGCUCAACUCAAGAAAUGCAUUCAGGACUGGGCGGCUAGAGGACCGGAGAGGAUAGUGGAAUUCCCGGUGUAGCGGUGAAAUGCGCAGAUAUCGGGAGGAACACCAAUGGCGAAGGCAGCUUGCUGGGACGGUACUGACGCUGAGGCGCGAAAGCGUGGGGAGCAAACAGG
rnacentral:rRNA from 1 species